UACGUAGGGUGCGAGCGUUAAUCGGAAUUACUGGGCGUAAAGCGUGCGCAGGCGGUUCUCCAGGUCCGUUGUGAAAGCCCCGGGCUCAACCUGGGAAUGGCAGUGGAAACUAGGGGACUGGAAUCUGGCAGAGGGGGGUGGAAUGCCGCGUGUAGCAGUGAAAUGCGUAGAGAAGCGGCGGAACACCGAUGGCGAAGGCAGCCCCCUGGGCUGAGAUUGACGCUCAGGCACGAAAGCGUGGGGAGCAAACAGG
rnacentral:rRNA from 1 species